GAUGGGCAGCACACAGGAGUUGAAGUGGCUCACUCUGGUGGUGGUGAGGUUUAAGGGCUUUAAAAUAUUACAACAAUGCAAUGCAAAAAAAAAGAAAACAACAAUACACCUUCCUAUUUGUUGUCCCCCUCACUUUGGCUUACCUCGGGUCAGAGAGGGGAGACACAAUGAUCUGGACCUGGCCUGACUGGGGGGACUCUGCUCUGCACGAUGCACAGCAACACUCUGUGUCUGUCACUUCCUGCUGUCAGACAGUGGCAGUGCUGAAGGGCUGCUGCCUGCUGGAGAGGCAGUGAGGGAGAUCUGAUUACCUGCAGAGCAGGAGGAGAAGGUUCCUUCCUGGCUGCCUUACCACCCCCACGUUCCCCCCUGGGCUCCA